rnacentral:rRNA from 1 species
UGGGGAAUAUUGCACAAUGGGCGCAAGCCUGAUGCAGCCAUGCCGCGUGUAUGAAGAAGGCCUUCGGGUUGUAAAGUACUUUCAGCGAGGAGGAAGGCGGUAAGGUUAAUAACCUUAUCGAUUGACGUUACUCGCAGAAGAAGCACCGGCUAACUCCGUGCCAGCAGCCGCGGUAAUACGGAGGGUGCAAGCGUUAAUCGGAAUUACUGGGCGUAAAGUGCACGCAGGCGGUCUGUCAAGUCGGAUGUGAAAUCCCCGGGCUCAACCUGGGAACUGCAUUCGAAACUGGCAGGCUAGAGUCUUGUAGAGGGGGGUAGAAUUCCAGGUGUAGCGGUGAAAUGCGUAGAGAUCUGGAGGAAUACCGGUGGCGAAGGCGGCCCCCUGGACAAAGACUGACGCUCAGGUGCGAAAGCGUGGGGAGCAAACA